CAAGUGGUGGAGCAUGUGGUUUAAUUCGAUGAUACGCGAGGAACCUUACCUAGGCUAGAAUGCGCGUGACCGCCCCGGAGACGGGGCUUUCCUUCGGGACACAAAGCAAGGUGCUGCAUGGCCGUCGUCAGCUCGUGCCGUGAGGUGUUGGGUUAAGUCCCGCAACGAGCGCAACCCCUAUGUUUAGUUGCCAGCGGGUCGUGCCGGGGACUCUAAAUAGACUGCCUGCGCAAGCAGCGAGGAAGGCGGGGACGACGUCAGGUCAUCAUGGCCCUUACGCCUAGGGCUACACACGUGCUACAAUGGGCGGUACAGCGGGUUGCCAACCAGCGAUGGUGCGCCAAUCCCGAAAAGCCGUUCUCAGUUCGGAUCGGAGUCUGCAACUCGACUCCGUGAAGCUGGAAUCACUAGUAAUCGCGUAUCAGCAAUGACGCGGUGAAUACGUUCCCGGGCCUUGUACACACC
rnacentral:rRNA from 1 species